CUACAAGAAAUACGGGUAUUGGUAGCAUAUCACGAUAGCACAAAUUUGCAAACUGCUAUUAAAAGUGACUUGCGAGAAUAUCUUACUUUAUUGUAGCAUUAAAUCAGUGCUAUACAAUAUUUUACAGGAUUUUUACGAAGGGGAAACUCAAAAACCUAAUUUUUAUCCCUGUAACAUUUAUGGGCGCCAAAUACUUAGAAAAAAACACAUUUGGCACCAAAAUAUUGGUUUUGGUAUAAAUUUUUUUUUUGUUAUUUGAUUUGGACUCUUCUCAAAUUGAGACUGAAGAAUAUUAGUGGAGGAGAUGAUGAAGCCACGAAGGAGCUGCUGUCAGAGUCGCAGUGAAGGUAACACUGUCGCUUGUCACCACCACCACAAUGCCAUCUCUCCCAUCCCCCAUCGCUCCUCACCACCUCCACCACCAUCGCUUCUCAGAUCCGUCUUUGCCAACGCGACCACCACCGUCACGCUCGCAACAACCCUCUCUCUUCGAUUCAACCCGUGAAUCGUGAUAAUCAACCUCUCUCACGAUUCAAUCUCUCUGAAGCUUAUUUAGUAAGGUGCUUUCUGUUCUGUUCAGAUUCAAGGAUAGAAGAAGGUGACUUAGGCGGUAUUUCCUUUCAAACUUACAAAAGGAUUACGAAACCCCUAAUCCUUCUCUGCUUUGGCGUUGUCUCUCCGUCUCUCUCUCUCACCAGCUCUCGAUCACUGAAGCAAGUUUUCUACUUUGGCAUCUCUCAGGAAGCCUUGUGAGUUCACGACAAUGGUGGUCACCAAUGCUGAAGGUCCUUACUUGUGGAACUUCACUGCAAAUGCGUUUGCGAGGAUGAUGAAGUAGAUAAUGGCUGAUGAUAAGGAGAAGAGAGUGUGGAACUUUCUUGAAGAGAAUCAAAAGGAUUCAUUGACGAAGUGGAGCAUGUGUGUUUACUCAAAGUGAAACAGAGUUUGAUGCAAAAAACUGAGGAGCAGCAUAAAAAAAGCAGUGGAGGAGGAUCCUUCUGCUUUUGCAUUUGAUGAAGUUUAUGAUGACAUGAAACACAAAGACAUCGUUCCUAAACUGCGAGAUCGUCAACACCUCAAGCCAAGAUAUGUCCAUUAAUCACUGUCAAGUUCUGUGUACCGUACUCUUAGUUUAGUUAUGUAUCUCUUGUGAGUGAUUUGUGGGUGUUUGUUUCUUCUGUUGUUGAAGCUGGAUACGUCUUCUGGAAUGAUAAAAGAAUAUCUUGCUGCUAUAGCACUGGCUGAUGGAGAAUUACGAGAGCCUGAAGCAAGAUUACGCGAGUCUUGAGCAAAGGUUUAAGCUUGUGGAAGAAAUGAAUGCGAUGAUGAAGAGGAACUACUGAUCAGGAAUGAGGAGCUUUUGAUUGUGUUAGAGAAAAAAGAGGACCACAAAGGCAGCAACGGAGUAAACACUCCAUCGUGUGAUCACUUUCUUCUUUGUGCUUUCUUUCCAUUAGAGGAAGACCACAAAGACUUGCAUUCGAUUCAAAGGAUGACUUAGGUUUCUUUGAUUUUGAUUUUGAUAUGUUAAGGCUUGUUGAGGCAUUGGUUUGUAGAUGGAUUUCCUAGACUUGGCAAAUGAAAUAAUGUAUGUUUUGAAAAAUUAAUGAAAUAUAAUUUCUCAUAUAUAGAUCAAA